rnacentral:rRNA from 1 species
AUAUCAAUAAGCGGAGGAAAAGAAACCAACAGGGAUUGCCUUAGUAACGGCGAGUGAAGCGGCAAAAGCUCAAAUUUGAAAUCUGGCACCUUCGGUGUCCGAGUUGUAAUUUGAAGAAGGUAACUUUGGAGUCAGCUCUUGUCUAUGUUCCUUGGAACAGGACGUCACAGAGGGUGAGAAUCCCGUGCGAUGAGAUGUCUGAUUCUAUGUAAAGUGCUUUCGAAGAGUCGAGUUGUUUGGGAAUGCAGCUCUAAGUGGGUGGUAAAUUCCAUCUAAAGCUAAAUAUUGGCGAGAGACCGAUAGCGAACAAGUACAGUGAUGGAAAGAUGAAAAGAACUUUGAAAAGAGAGUGAAAAAGUACGUGAAAUUGUUGAAAGGGAAGGGUUUGAGAUCAGACUUGGUAUUUUGUAUGUCUUGCUUUCGGGUGGGGCCUCUACAGUUUACUGGGCCAGCAUCGGUUUGGACGGUAGGAUAAUGACAUUGGAAUGUGGCACCACUUCGGUGGUGUGUUAUAGACUUUGUUGAUACUGCCUGUCUAGACCGAGGACUGCGUCUUUGACUAGGAUGCUGGCAUAAUG